rnacentral:rRNA from 1 species
CCUGGCUCAGGAUGAACGCUGGCGGCGUGCCUAAUACAUGCAAGUCGAGCGAAUGGAUUAAGAGCUUGCUCUUAUGAAGUUAGCGGCGGACGGGUGAGUAACACGUGGGUAACCUGCCCAUAAGACUGGGAUAACUCCGGGAAACCGGGGCUAAUACCGGAUAACAUUUUGAACCGCAUGGUUCGAAAUGAAAGGCGGCUUCGGCUGUCACUUAUGGAUGGACCCGCGUCGCAUUAGCUAGUUGGUGAGGUAACGGCUCACCAAGGCAACGAUGCGUAGCCGACCUGAGAGGGUGAUCGGCCACACUGGGACUGAGACACGGCCCAGACUCCUACGGGAGGCAGCAGUAGGGAACUUCCGCAAUGGAGAAAGUCUGAGGAGCAACGCCGCGUGAGUGAGAAGCUUCGGGUCGUAAAACUCUGU